CCUACGGGAGGCAGCAGUGGGGAAUAUUGGUCAAUGGGGGAGACCCUGAAGCAGCAAAGCCGCGUGAGGGAUGAAGGUUUUAGGAGUGGAAAACCCUUUUGGUAGAGGAGAAAAAGACGGUAUCUAACCAGUACGCACUGGAUAACACCGUUAAAGCAGCCGUGGGAACACGGCGGGCGCAAGCGUAAUUCCGAAUAACGGGGCGUAAAGGGCGCGUAGGCGGGUUAGCUAGUCAGAAGGGAAAUCCUAGGGUCUAACCCUAGAACUGCAUUUGAAACUGGUAAACUAGAGUAUGGGAGAGGUAGGUGGAAUUCGAGGUGUAGGGGUGAAAUCCGUAGAGAUCACGAGGAAUACUCAUUGCGAAGGCGGCCUGCUGGAGCAUAACUGACGCUGAGGCGCGAAAGCGUGGGGAGCAAACAGGAUUAGAUACCCGAGUAGUC
rnacentral:rRNA from 1 species